rnacentral:rRNA from 1 species
UCGAGAAUCUUUCGCAAUGCCCGAAAGGGUGACGAAGCGACGCCGCGUGAGCGAAGAAGGCCUUAGGGUUGUAAAGCUCUGUCGAGGGUUAUGAAAUAUAAAUGGGAUAAUACCUCAUUUAUUUGACAAAAGCCCAAGAGGAAGUCACGGCUAACUCUGUGCCAGCAGCCGCGGUAAUACAGAGGUGGCAAGCGUUGUUCGGUAUUAUUGGGCGUAAAGAGCACGUAGGUGGUUUUGUAAGUCAGGUGUGAAAGCCUUCUGUUCAAAGGAAGAACGGCAUCUGAAACUGCAGAUCUUGAGUGUAGGAGGGGAGAGUGGAACUUCUGGUGGAGCGGUGAAAUGCGUAGAUAUCAGAAGGAACGUCGGCGGCGAAAGCGACUCUCUGGCCUAUAACUGACACUGAGGUGCGAAAGUUAGGGGAGCAAACGGGAUUAGAUACCCCGGUAGUCCUAACCGUAAACGAUGGGCACUAAGUAGAGGGAAUUACCAAUGUUCUCUCUGCUGUAGCUAACGCAUUAAGUGCCCCGCCUGGGGAGUACGGCCGCAAGGCUA